CGCCUUGCCAGCCCGCUCAGAAACUUAAAGGAAUUGACGGGGCCGCACAAGCGGUGGAGUAUGUGGUUUAAUCGAUGCAACGCGAAGAACCUUACCUGGUCUUGACAUCCCGGAGACCCUUAGGAAACUAGGGGGUGCUUCCAUCUGGAAGAAUCUGGAGACAGGUGCUGCAUGGCUGUCGUCAGCUCGUGUCGUGAGAUGUUGGGUUAAGUCCCGCAACGAGCGCAACCCUUGCCUUUAGUUGCCAGCAGUUCGGCUGGGCACUCUAAAGGGACUGCCGGUGUUAAACCGGAGGAAGGUGGGGAUGACGUCAAGUCCUCAUGGCCUUUAUGACCAGGGCUACACACGUACUACAAUGGCCGAUACAAAGGGCAGCGACACUGCGAGGUGAAGCCAAUCCCGUAAAAUCGGUCUCAGUCCGGAUUGGAGUCUGCAACUCGACUCCAUGAAGUUGGAAUCGCUAGUAAUCGUGGAUCAGCAUGCCACGGUGAAUACGUUCCCGGGCCUU
rnacentral:rRNA from 1 species